GAUGAAGAACGCAGCGAAAUGCGAUACUUGGUGUGAAUUGCAGAAUCCCGUGAACCACCGAGUCUUUGAACGCAAGUUGCGCCCGAAGCCAUUAGGCCGAGGGCACGCCUGCCUGGGCGUCACACGUCGUUGCCCCCCCAUCUACUCCUUCGGGAUUGCGGGGGGCGGAUGAUGGCCUCCCGUGCGCCUCGCCGCGCGGUUGGCAUAAAUGCCAAGUCCUCGGCGACGCACGCCACGACAAUCGGUGGUUGCGAAACCUCGGUUGCCCGUCGUGUGCGGUCGUCGCGCAUCGAGGGCUCGAAAAAAUUGCCGGGUUCCGGCUCGGCUUUCAACGCGACCCCAGGUCAGGCGGGGUUACCCGCUGAAUUUAAGCAUAUCAAUAAGCGGAGGA
rnacentral:misc_RNA from 1 species